rnacentral:rRNA from 1 species
UAGGGAAUCUUCCGCAAUGGACGCAAGUCUGACGGAGCAACGCCGCGUGAGUGAAGAAGGAUUUCGGUUCGUAAAACUCUGUUGUUAGAGAAGAACAGCGCAUAGAGUAACUGUUAUGCGUGUGACGGUAUCUAACCAGAAAGCCACGGCUAACUACGUGCCAGCAGCCGCGGUAAUACGUAGGUGGCAAGCGUUGUCCGGAUUUAUUGGGCGUAAAGCGAGCGCAGGCGGUCAAUUAAGUCUGAUGUGAAAGCCCCCGGCUCAACCGGGGAGGGUCAUUGGAAACUGGUUGACUUGAGUGCAGAAGAGGAGAGUGGAAUUCCAUGUGUAGCGGUGAAAUGCGUAGAUAUAUGGAUGCACACCAGUGGCGAAGGCGACUCUCUGGUCUGUAACUGACGCUGAGGCUCGAAAGCGUGGGUAGCAAACAGG